rnacentral:rRNA from 1 species
GUUUGAUCCUGGCUCAGGAUGAACGCUAGCGAUAGGCUUAACACAUGCAAGUCGAGGGGCAGCGAUGGUAGCAAUACCAGUCGGCGACCGGCGGAUGGGUGAGUAACACGUAUGCAACCUGCCUUCAACAUUGGAAUAACCCGUUGAAAGACGGACUAAUGCCUUAUAACACAGGGGCGCCGCAUGGCGAUAUUUGUUAAAGAUUUUAUCGGUUGAAGAUGGGCAUGCGCAUGAUUAGUUAGUUGGUAAGGUAACGGCUUACCAAGACAACGAUCAUUAGGGGUUCUGAGAGGAAGGUCCCCCACACUGGUACUGAGACACGGACCAGACUCCUACGGGAGGCAGCAGUGAGGAAUAUUGGUCAAUGAGCGAGAGCUUGAACCAGCCACGUCGCGUGCAGGAAGAAUGUCUUAUGGAUUGUAAACUGCUUUUUCGGUAGAGUAAUGUGCGUCACGUGUGACGUAUUGCAAGUAUACCGAGAAUAAGGAUCGGCUAACUCCGUGCCAGCAGCCGCGGUAAUACGGAGGAUCCGAGCGUUAUCCGGAAUUAUUGGGUUUAAAGGGUGCGUAGGCGGCCAUUUAAGUCAGCGGUGAAAUUUUGCAGCUUAACUGUAACAGUGCCGUUGAUACUGUUUGGCUAGGAUUUGGUUGUAGUGUGCGGAAUGUGUGGUGUAGCGGUGAAAUGCUUAGAUAUCACACAGAACACCGAUUGCGAAGGCAGCACACUAAGUCAUUAUUGACGCUGAGGCACGAAAGUGUGGGGAUCAAAACAGGAUUAGAUACCCUGGUAGUCCACACUGUAAACGUUGUGUUGUGGCUGUCGGCGAUACCCAGUCGGGGGGCAAGCGAAAAGCAUUAAGUUAUCCCCCUGGGGAGUACGGCCGCAAGGUUGAAACUCAAAGGAAUUGACGGGGGCCCGCACAGGCGGAGGAACAUGUGGUUUAAUUCGAUGAUACGCGAGGAACCUUACCCGGGCUCGAACGGUGCAUGAAUAUACGAGAGAUUGUAUAGUCCUUCGGGACAUGUAUCGAGGUGCUGCAUGGUUGUCGUCAGCUCGUGCCGUGAGGUGUCGGCUUAAGUGCCAUAACGAGCGCAACCCUUGUCAUUAGUUGCCAUCAGGUCAAGCUGGGGACUUUAAUGAGACUGCCACCGUAAGGUGUGAGGAAGGGGGGGAUGACGUCAAAUCAGCACGGCCCUUAUGUCCGGGGCGACACACGUGUUACAAUGGGAGGUACAGAGGGCAGCUAUCCGGUGACGGAAUGCUAAUCUCCAAAACCUUUCUCAGUUCGGAUUGGAGUCUGCAACUCGACUCCAUGAAGGUGGAUUCGCUAGUAAUCGCGCAUCAGCCAUGGCGCGGUGAAUACGUUCCCGGGCCUUGUACUCACCGCCCGUCA